rnacentral:rRNA from 1 species
GGAGGGGGCCAGCGUUGUUCGGAAUUAUUGGGCGUAAAGGGCGCGCAGGCGGCCAGGCCAGUCGGAGGUGAAAUCCCUCAGCUUAACUGAGGAACUGCCUCCGAUACUGCAUGGCUUGAGUCCCGGAGAGGGUAGCGGAAUUCCUAGUGUAGCGGUGAAAUGCGUAGAUAUUAGGAGGAACACCAGUGGCGAAGGCGGCUACCUGGACGGGUACUGACGCUGAGGCGCGAAAGCGUGGGGAGCAAACAGGGAUUAGAUACCCUGGUAGUCCACGCUGUAAACGAUGAGCACUUGGUGUUGCGGGUAUCGACCCCCCCCCUGCAGUGCCGAAGCUAACGCAUUAAGUGCUCCGCCUGGGAGUACGGUCGCAAGGCUG